UACGAAGGGGGCUAGCGUUGCUCGGAAUCACUGGGCGUAAAGGGUGCGUAGGCGGGUCUUUAAGUCAGGGGUGAAAUCCUGGAGCUCAACUCCAGAACUGCCUUUGAUACUGAAGAUCUUGAGUUCGGGAGAGGUGAGUGGAACUGCGAGUGUAGAGGUGAAAUUCGUAGAUAUUCGCAAGAACACCAGUGGCGAAGGCGGCUUACUGGUCCGGAUCUGACGCUGAGGCGCGAAAGCGUGGGGAUCAAACAGG
rnacentral:rRNA from 1 species